AGUGAUAGAAGCUCCUUGAAAGAAUGGACCCUUUAAGUACCCAGAACUGAGAUAAAAGUCCCUAAAAACAUUGCUGUUUGGGAAGGCUCAUCAAUGCAAGAGAGAGAAGGAGAUGCCCGUAACAGAAAGCACCCCACCAUGGUCUGGCAGCUUUUUUGUUGUCCUUGGCAUCUGCCUUUUGAAGACAUCUACAGGCUAUUUGUUUUGGGCAAGUUCUCUCCUUAYGGCACAGGAUCUUACUAACCCAGCACUCCCUAAAGACAGUCCACGAAGAAAUCGUGGGCCGUUUGCACAGAGCACAGCACAUAAAACUACGACCUUUUAG
rnacentral:lncRNA from 1 species